rnacentral:rRNA from 1 species
UACGGGAGGCAGCAGUGGGGAAUAUUGCACAAUGGGCGCAAGCCUGAUGCAGCCAUGCCGCGUGUAUGAAGAAGGCCUUCGGGUUGUAAAGUACUUUCAGUCGUGAGGAAGGUGUUAAGGUUAAUAACCUUAGCAAUUGACGUUAGCGACAGAAGAAGCACCGGCUAACUCCGUGCCAGCAGCCGCGGUAAUACGGAGGGUGCGAGCGUUAAUCGGAAUUACUGGGCGUAAAGGGCACGCAGGCGGUUAAUUAAGUUGGAUGUGAAAUCCCCGGGCUUAACCUGGGAAUGGCAUUCAAGCUGGUUAGCUAGAGUCUUGUAGAGGGGGUAGAAUUCCAUGUGUAGCGGUGAAAUGCGUAGAGAUGUGGAGGAAUACCGGUGGCGAAGGCGGCCCCUGGACAAAGACUGACGCUCAUGUGCGAAAGCGUGGGGAGCGAAACAGGGAUUAGAUACC